ACAUUCCUUUUGGAGAAGACAUGUAUAGUCGUGUCCGUGGCCGUCCACUUCUGAUUGAUACAUCUGCAAGGAUCAGUGAUGACAAACCCAAGCCUCGACCUGUAUCAUCACGUGAGGAGCAUAAAGUCAAGACAAAUGGCUCGGUAGAGAUCAAGUCUGCUUCACCUGAGAAUGCUAGUUUAAGCAACUCUGAAAAGCAGGAACAGAAAAAAAUGGUACCUGAAGAUGCUCGGGCGAAGAAGAUUAAGAGUGAUAAUGUGACACCAGUAACACCGUCUUUAGAUCCUGCUACGUCAACUUCUAAGACUGGUAAAGGGAA
rnacentral:lncRNA from 1 species